rnacentral:rRNA from 2 species
GGGCGUAAGCGAGCGCAGGCGGUUAUUUAAGUCUGAUGUGAAAGCCUUCGGCUUAACCGAAGAAGUGCAUCGGAAACUGGGUAACUUGAGUGCAGAAGAGGACAGUGGAACUCCAUGUGUAGCGGUGGAAUGCGUAGAUAUAUGGAAGAACACCAGUGGCGAAGGCGGCUGUCUAGUCUGUAACUGACGCUGAGGCUCGAAAGCAUGGGUAGCGAACAGGAUUAGAUACCCUGGUAGUCCAUGCCGUAAACGAUGAGUGCUAAGUGUUGGAGGGUUUCCGCCCUUCAGUGCUGCAGCUAACGCAUUAAGCACUCCGCCUGGGGAGUACGACCGCAAGGUUGAAACUCAAAGGAAUUGACGGGGGCCCGCACAAGCGGUGGAGCAUGUGGUUUAAUUCGAAGCUACGCGAAGAACCUUACCAGGUCUUGACAUCUUCUGCCAAUCUUAGAGAUAAGACGUUCCCUUCGGGGACAGAAUGACAGGUGGUGCAUGGUUGUCGUCAGCUCGUGUCGUGAGAUGUUGGGUUAAGUCCCGCAACGAGCGCAACCCUUAUUAUCAGUUGCCAGCAUUYAGUUGGGCACUCUGGUGAGACUGCCGGUGACAAACCGGAGGAAGGUGGGGAUGACGUCAAAUCAUCAUGCCCCUUAUGACCUGGGCUACACACGUGCUACAAUGGACGGUACAACGAGUUGCGAAGUCGUGAGGCCAAGCUAAUCUCUUAAAGCCGUUCUCAGUUCGGAUUGUAGGCUGCAACUCGCCUACAUGAAGUUGGAAUCGCUAGUAAUCGCGGAUCAGCAUGCCGCGGUGAAUACGUUCCCGGGCCUUGUACACACCGCCCGUCACACCAUGAGAGUUUGUAACACCCAAAGCCGGUGGGGUAACCUUCGGGAGCCAGCCGUCUAA